rnacentral:misc_RNA from 1 species
GAUGAAGAACGUAGCGAAAUGCGAUAAGUAAUGUGAAUUGCAGAAUUCAGUGAAUCAUCGAAUCUUUGAACGCACAUUGCGCCCCUUGGUAUUCCGAGGGGCAUGCCUGUUCGAGCGUCAUUAUAACCCCUCAAGCUCAGCUUGGUGUUGGGGCCUGCUGCACUGGCAGCCCUUAAAAUCAGUGGCGGCGCCAUCUGGCUCUAAGCGUAGUAAUUCUUCUCGCUAUGGAGUCCUGGUGGAUGCUUGCCAUCAACCCCCAAUUUUUCUAUGGUUGACCUCGGAUCAGGUAGGGAUACCCGCUGAAUUUAAGCAUAUCAAUAAGCGGAGGA